UACGAAGGGGGCUAGCGUUGCUCGGAAUCACUGGGCGUAAAGGGCGCGUAGGCGGCCAUUCAAGUCGGGUGUGAAAACUCGUGGCUUAACCACGAGCCCGCAUUCGAUACUGCAUGGCUAGAGUCCGGUAGGGGGGUCUGGAACUCCUGGUGUAGCGGUGGAAUGCGCAGAUAUCAGGAAGAACACCGGUGGCGAAGGCGGGACCCUGGGCCGGUACUGACGCUGAGGAGCGAAAGCGUGGGGAGCAAACAGGAUUAGAUACCCGAGUAGUCC
rnacentral:rRNA from 1 species